GUCAUUGAGCAGUGUUCAAGGAUGAUCCAGACCAGAGCCCUGGCCUUUAAAAAAUAAACAGCUUUGUGGCUGGUUUACACAGCACUGAUUCAUAUUUUCCUCCCUCCUUUCCAACUAUUCAAAUAUCUAAAAUUCCAUUUAAAACCUGCGUCUCGCUGGCCUGAAGGUAGUGAGUUAUCUCAACUGAUUGUUCACAAUCAGUCACAGAUCAAACUCCUUGCUCUACUCUUUCCCCCCUUCUCACAAUGGCACUUGACUAAAAAAAACUUUUUUUU